UCUCCGUAGGUGAACCUGCGGAGGGAUCAUUAUUGUAUAACCAACGUCCAAGGCCUUACGCUGACCGGAACUGUCGUGCACUCCCGAGUGACGUCCCACACAUCCAUCUCACCCCUCUGUGCACCACCGCGUGCGUCCCCCUUUGGCUUUUUCGGAGGGGUGCUUUCGUUUUCACACACACUUUGUAUGCAGUGUAGAUUGUAUUUUUUGUUUUUGCGAUCACGCCAUCAAUACAACUUUCAACAACGGAGCUCUUGGCUCUCGCAUCGAGUCACAACC
rnacentral:misc_RNA from 1 species